AAUGGGAUAGCUGGGUCAAAUGGUGAUUCCAUUCCAAGUUUUCUGAGGAAUCUCCAUACUGUUUUCCAUAGUGAUUGCACCAAUCUGCAGUCCCACCAGCAAC
rnacentral:pre_miRNA from 1 species